CAAUAGCGUAUAUUAAAGUUGUUGCGGUUAAAAAGCUCGUAGUUGGAUUUCUGCCGAGGACGACCGGUCCGCCCUCUGGGUGAGUAUCUGGCUUGGCCUGGGCAUCUUCUUGGAGAACGUAGCUGCACUUGACUGUGUGGUGCGGUAUCCAGGACUUUUACCUUGAGAAAAUUAGAGUGUUUCAGGCAGGCUAGGCCGGAAUACAUUAGCAUGGAAUAAUGGAAUAGGACUACGGUCUCUUUGUUGGUUUGAGGGACUGCAGUAAUGAUUAAAAGGGGCAGUCAGGGGCACUCGUAUUCCGUCGAGAGAGGUGAAAUUCUCAGACCAAUGGAAGACGAACCACUGCGAAAGCAUUUGCCAGGGAUGUUUUCACUGAUCAAGAACGAAAGUUAGGGGAUCGAAGACGAUCAGAUACCAU
rnacentral:rRNA from 1 species